UCCUCUCGGAGGCAGCGGUGCGGAAUCUUAUGGAAGGCAGGGGUGGGUAAUCUUGCACAAUGGGGGAAACCAUGAUCCCGCCAUGCCGCUUGAUUUAUGAAGCCCUUAAGAUGUAAACUUCGCUUAUUCGGGACGGACUGACGGUACCGGAAGAAGAAGCACCGCUACCUCCGC
rnacentral:rRNA from 1 species